rnacentral:rRNA from 1 species
UAGGGAAUCUUCCACAAUGGACGCAAGUCUGAUGGAGCAACGCCGCGUAAGUGAAGAAGGGUUUCGGCUCGUAAAGCUCUGUUGUUAAAGAAGAACGUGGGUAAGAGUAACUGUUUACCCAGUGACGGUAUUUAACCAGAAAGCCACGGCUAACUACGUGCCAG